UGCCGUGACGUCAGCGCGCCGCGUGCGUCGGGAGGGAGGGGGGAGCGGAGGGCGCGGCCCGCGGCAGGACGUUUAUGGUUGGUGGACUCUGCCCCGGCCGGGAAGUUCGAACGGAAGUCCGGGAGCCCGAGACCAGAACGGGCAGCAGUUUGGGCCUUGGAGCAGUAGCUCAGGGUCGGUGUUUCAUCAGGUUCUGUUUAUCAGCUUUGGUUGACUGAUUAAUGAAAUAAUCAUGCUGAAGGAACAGGAAGUACUUGUGUUUAGAAAGAAAAAUAAUUGUAGCAAAUGCUAAACAUUUCAAAGUAGUCUUAGUAUCUCUAAGACAAUUGAGGCCUUCAAGAAAUACAAAAGAAGAGUUGAAGAGCAAAGAAACAAGGUGAAGGAGAACUCCCCACUCUCCAGUCAGAGAUCUCUAGAGCCCUCCAGGAGACAUUUUCUUGGGCAAGCAGCAGCUCGCUCUCAGUUCGUCAUUAGAGAUAAUACACUUCUUGCUUCAUCUCCCAAAGCUGAUGCGUCCACACCACUCUCCAGUGCACUGUUUGGCAUCCCUCUGCCUCUGCAUGAGUUACAGACGGGAAAUCAGAAAUUAGAGUUACCUGCAGAACUAACAAGACUAUGAAUGGAAAUGGCCUGAAUAUGAAUCUUCAUUCUUCGUUUUACCAGUAAAAUGGCCAGGGACUAGUAAAUAACCUUUCUGAGCCUCAGUUUCCCCAUAGUUAACGUCAUCACAGUAUCUGUUUUGUGGCUAACAAAAGUCAUAAUUUAAAGUGGUAAUGUUUAACAUGUACUCUUAAGCAGAAGUAAUUCUUUCCUGUCAUGAACAUCUUAACAUUUUUCUAGGAUCCAACACUUUAAAAUGUGUUUUUCUUUGUUUAGGGAAUUCUAACCAUACAUAGCAUGAUGAAUACUUGUCGACUUGAUAGAAUCUAGUACGUCAGGGAUGGGAGGAGGCUUCUGGGGGUAGUGUUGGCUUUUUUGGGGUGGGUGGCCUUCUUACUGUGAUGGUGCCUUUCCUGGCCUGGCUUCUGGGCUGUGUACGUGGAGAAGGUGAGCUGAGCACAGGCAGGCUUGACGCUGUCCUUCCUGGCUGUAGAGCAGUUGCUUCAGUCAAGCUUCUGCUGACUUGCCUCCCACACAGUGGACUGCACUUUGAGCUGAGAGCAAAACUAAAUGCUUUUGUCUGUAAGGUGCUUUAGUCAGGGUGUUUUAUCAUAGUCACAAGAUAAGAAUAAGACACGGUACAUGUUGCUUCUUCAAGGAGGGCCCUAAAACUGUUUCCAGAUCUUUGGCAUUGGCUUUACCUGCAGGUAGUGAUUUGAAUGUUGUUAGCUUAAGGGAGAAAGACAGCUAAAAUCCAGUUUGUGAUAAAGGCACCUGAUAGAGUGAAUUCCUAAUACAGCAGUAGUUAGCUGGACAAGGGGAGUAACCUCAAACAUAGUACUGGCCGAUCAUGAGAGCUGUCUUAGGGUCUCAUUGCUGUGAAGAGACACCAUGACCAGGGCAGCUCUUAUAAAGGCAAACAUUUAAUUGGGGCUGGCUUACUGUUUCAGAGGGUCAGUCCAUUAUCAUUAUAUUGAUAAGCAGGGCAGACAUGGUGCUGGAGGAGCCAAGAGUUCUACAUCUUGAUCUGAAGGCAGCCAGGAGGCUCUGAUUGACAUACUUCCCACUCCAACAAGGCCCCACCUCCUAACAGUGCCACCCCCUAUGGCCAAGCAUUAAACACAUGAACCUAUGGAGUCAUUAAACCACCACAGACACUCUCUGGCCAGGUAGGUCUAAGGGACCUUUAAGCAUUAAAGUGACCAAGCUUGCUGCCUCGCUGUUCUCUAGCUUCCUGGUGAUUUUCUGGGUUUCCCUGUUUUUCAAUAAAUUUCUUUUCUGUGCACUCAGUCAAAAUAGAUUCUGUUAUGUGUAGCAGGCUAAGAAAUUACCAUUUGAAACAAAAGUAUAUAGUAUAAAAAAAACAAACCCUAGUGGAAGGUAUAUGCAAUAUUAAAAUGGUUUCCCACGUUUCUUUUUCUCUAGUGGUAUCAGAAGUGGGAGAUUUGAACUUUAAUGUUCCUAAUGAAUCCAGUGACUAAAAAUAAAAACUAAAAACAUAAAAAUCAAUCCCUGGAUAUUGAUUCUGCACAAAAGUCCCCAGUGAGUUUAUCAAUUCAAGUCAAAGCCAGAAUAAAAAUAAAUCAGGCAUUAUAUUGCAUAUUAAAUUUCUGGAGCUCAGCUCAGUCCCUUAACCUCUCAGAGCCAGCAACAGUGAGGCAGCUCUCACCGCAGCGGGGAAAUAACAAAGCAAGAGCAAAAUUGCCACUGCGCAAUGAAGCGCAUCCCCACAUUUCCACCUACUGCAUUAUACUUCACGAGUCUCCCGGAGCCAGGCAAACGCAGGAAACCUUUAAAAGUGGGUCCAGAUGUCAGCUAUCAGCACUGCAGUACUUUAAUUACCAGAAAACAAAGAGCGACUCCUUAGGUAUGGUCUAAGCAGGUGUUCACACCCAGGAAACAAUAGCUGAAGAGACAGCCGCAGCAUUAAAUCUACCUCAGCCUGAGUAAAAACUUACCCAGAGGGGGCCCAGAAAAUUCACAACUAUUAAAGAGUUUUACAAAUACUAUAUUAUGCUGCAGAAUGAGUGGUUAAUAUUAAUUACCCCAUUUUGCAGAUGAGAAAACUGAGUGCCUUGUAUCAUAAUUUCUAACCCAGUGUUGUCAGUUUUUUGACAAAUUCACUGUUCAAUGAAUUUAUUUUCUAAGAUCCUUUAAUCUGUAUGUAGAAUAGGAUUGUUUUUAAACAACUAUAAAUUUUAACAUAGUCUAUUUUCAUUGGGGAAAUUAAAAAAUACAAAUAAGGAAAAGCAAAUCUUAACAUUAAAAAUUAUUUUAUUAUUUAUUUGUGGUUGUUUGAGACACGGUUUCACUGUGUAAUAUACGGCUGUCCUGGAAAUAGCUCUGUAGACCUGGCUGGCCUGUCUCUGCCUUCAAGUGCUGGAAUGAAAAGUGUGUACCACCACUGCCUAGCCCAAAUCCUAAUUUUUAUAUCAACAGAUAUUUUAAUGGGGCCCAUUAUAAGACUUUAUAAGAUCCAGGAGCCUCAGACACUAGGCUAAAAUGACAUUUUUCAAAACUACUUACUUUCUGGUUAGCACAUUCUCCAGGGUCUACCCUUAAACAUGAGAGCCAUUUGGAUUUCAUAUUUGUGGCUGGAAGAUUAACAUUUAUGUCUGCCUUCAAGUCACAGCCUGAGUAGGUAUCCUUUGCCCAGUGUGCUAAAUGGGACUAAACAAGUAAAAUGUCCGGCAUUUAUGUUGGCAUUUGUACUGUCUUGCUAAAUUACAAAAUGUUAUUAGAAAGUGCAUUUUUCUUAAAGUUUCCCUUUUGUUUAGGUUUUAGUGUGUGUUUCUGUGACAUGUGGCAGGCAGUGGUAAAGAAUGGAGACACUUUUCCAUGGUGGGGGGGAUGUAGCCAACUCAUCAAGUAUCUACAAGAAGCAGCAAAGUGGGGGCCGAGGUGUUGCAGAUGAAAAUGAAACCCGGAUUUACUUGACAACAAAGAGGAGAGGGGAAGAAGCUGUAGAGGAAGCAAGGGACCCAGAAGUAAAAGCUUUGAGUACACGAGAGGGACUUAGGGAGCCCUCUUCCUUUUAGAGUAGAAGGAAGUAUCUAGCAAGACAGGAAAAAAUGGGGAGACAUCUUUGUGGUGAAAAAUAAAUAGGUGUGUAUUGUUUGAUGGAUUAUACUAUCCAAUAACAGAGUUUUCUGAUAUGAAACAUUAUGGACAGAUGCAUCAUGCAUAGGGACCUGAUGAGAUUCUUAUGAGACCAGACUGCUGGAGGUGUUAGGAAAACAGUGUGAAGUGGCGGUCAGGCGGUGCGUGCGUACAAAGGAGAUUCAUUCGUUGUUACUCUGCACACGGGGAAUGGAAGACGUAGACUAGAGUGGGAACAAGGCCAUGCGAGGUGGCGUGGGAAAGCUUGGCACUGGUAGAAGAUGCCAGGCAAACUGGCACGCUGCAAAAAUGAGGUUAGGUGAGGGCAUGCUAAUGAUGACACUGGCUUCUGCAGAUCCAAGGAAGAGAGCCAGUGCUGAUGACGGGCAGCAGCAGGCGUGGGAAGAGAGGACAAUUAGCAGAAACGGUUCAAUACUGAAGACAUUAAGACGUAACCUCCUUAUUUUUUUCACGUUGGAGAUUGAAGUCAGCUCUGAGCAUGUUGGGCAGAUGCUCUAAUACUGAGGGUCUCCCUUGGUCCCAAGACCCACACUUCUUAAAAAAGCCAGCGUGAAUGCCUGGUGCAGUGCUGCAGUGUCCACAAACCAGCACUGACAGCUUACACUUAGAAUCAAGGCCACCCUUCUCUAAGAGACCAGAGAUACCGUGCCUCACAGGUCCUUCGCCCUCCUAGAUACAUAAACUGCAGACGUGCAGAUUCUCUUGUGUCACUUCCUCACUGCUUACCCCACCUCAUGUUGAAGAAUCUGCCUAUCUUCUCCCAACUUCGGUCUGGUCCAUGUCUUCUCCACCCUGCCUCCCAUGGCACCGCACGGCUUGUUCUAUACCAGCUCACUGGCCUGUGACCUCAAUCUGUUUCUUGCCUGGGAGCUCUGACAUCCUUGCUUUUUAUGGCCUUUCCCCAGGGACACUGUUAGCUGUUUUCUUUCUCACACCCAGAAUGCCUCACAGCUAGGAGGGGGAGUUGAAUUCUCCUGCUCUGUUGUUGCUUUCAAGGCAUUUUGUUUUCUUCUGUCUUAAAACUCAUCCACCUUUUUCCAUGGCUAAUAUUUAAUGUUCUUCCUCCCCUCCCAUACACUGAAGAUUUGUUUUGAGUAAAGUUUUUUCCUACUUCCUCCUCUUCCUCAUCCUUAGAAUUUAAUUACUCAAGGGGGGUAGCUUACUCUACAUCUGCUUUCUCGAUUCCUUGUUCUUUUUACCCCGCACUUUCCCCUGCAUGCUCCUACAGCCCUUUCUCAGGUUUACCUGGACCUGAACUUACAUUACUUGUGAGACACUGGCUGCUCCCUCCCUACUCUUCGUUGGUGUACUGUGGGUGUACUGUGCAGUCGAUAGGUUCAUAGGGCACUCUCAGAACCCUGCCCAGACUCACAGUUGCUGUCAGUGUCUCCUUUUUCCUGUUACCUUCUUUUUAGAGUUAGAUUCUGUGGUGAUGUUGUAGAGGCUCCUUUGAUCACACAUAGCCUUGCCUCUGUGUACCUUUUGCCUGAAGAGAUGUGGGUGCUUCUCUCAUGGGAAAAUCUUAGAAUAUUCUGGGUAUCCUCAACUUAAGUCCUUCUCCUCCAUAAAAAGCCUGUGUACAGAGAACCCAUGUUCAUUAAUAAUCCUCUAAUAGACAACUUUGUGCGGACCUGAGACUGUGAACACAGGAGUAUGCUAGUUGUGGGGUUCAAUGUUAGGAAUGUCGUUUACCCACACAGGAGAAGUGUAUGUGUUAAUAUACCAACUUGAUGAAGGUUGUGGUCUGACUUCUACCCUAUUGCUUUGACUCAUGUUUCAGUUCUCAAUGAUAGUAAAUAAGGAAACAUUUGCUUUUCUUAAAGACCUCAAGUUUAGAUAUGUCUCGCCCUCUAUAUAUACUAUUAGAAACUUGCACGGCGCUGAGUUUUCUAUACCUUGCUCCACUUAUUCAGUAAUUACUCUUUCAUCAUCCCAAAAGCUUACUUAUUUUCAUAGUCACAUGAUAUUCAAUUAUAUGUUAUCUGCCAAAAUGUAGCCACUCUUUUAUUGCCAAACAUUUUCUGUCAUUUUAUAACAAUACAAUUGUAAGUUCUUACAAAUAAUAACUGUGCUCUUAGGGGAGGUAAGUACAACUAAGAAGUUUCAUAUAUUUUCACAGUUACAAACCUUAGUUGGGACAAUCAACAGUAUGUGUAAAUACUAUUUUAUUUAAUGUUUUAAACUAUAAGUAAAUGUAGUUUCCCCCUUUGAGUCAGUUAUUUCAUACCUUCUUUAUAUCAAUUGAUGAUCUUGUCUGAUACUGAGAACAGAAUUUUGGGGGCAGGAAUGCCCCGUCUUACUUUUCACUUGGGAACAUGAUCAUAUGCGCCAUUUUUCUUUCUUCCCAUUCGGUGUGGAGAUAGGCUUCAUCCCAGCUCCUGUCCUGAGUCCGUCUGUCAUGCUUUCCGUCCUGCACUGCCAUUCUCUCCCACCCCAGCUGUGCAUUUUCUAGUCUCUAUGGAUUUCUUCAGUUUCUUUAACUUAAUUCUCACUGAUGGAUCAUCUCAGUCCGGCCACUUUCAAGGGUGCUGUGCUGUCUGUCCCCCAGUGUUACCCACGUUGCUAGGUACAACCCAUACCCUCUGCCUUCAUUUCUACCUGGCACCUUAGGCAACAGGUAAGAACCCACUUAUUUGUUGUUCCGGCUCUUUGAAGAUGCUGUGAUUGAACCUGAGGCAGGUGCUCUCCAGCGAAGCCCCAUCCCUCUCCCACUUCCUGUUUGCAUGCUCUCCCAAGUUUCUUCCAGAGCACCAUGCUCUCUGGGCUCCUCAACUUUCGAACUAACCCUUCUUAGCCUCUUUGCUAGUUAGCCUUCUCUGUUCACCUCCCAACACUGGGUUAUGGCUCACCCCCAAGCUCACUUACCCUUACCCGUUUUCUCAAGUAGCCCCAGUCAUUACCAGUGCUUUGAUUACUACUUAUGGGCUAACAGUUCUCAAGUUUAUGGUUUGAGUUGAGAAUAUUACACAUAUAUUUCAUUAUUUAGAGGAAUAAUACAAGAACUUACUGUAUUGUUGACUUUGAAUCCUUUCCCUAAAGGUUCAACUUCAUCUAAUACAUCCACCAAGGCACCUUGCUGACAAUAUGGUCUUUUUUUUUUUUCUUUUUGAUUUGGGUUUUGAGCUUUUUGUUUGUUUUGUUGAGAUAUGGACUCAUGCUGGCCUGAGUAGACUCAAAGCCCUGAUCCCCCUGCCUCCAUCUCUCAGCCAAGAUGUCAAAAAGUGACCCUCUUUGUUCUCCCUUGAGCUCAGCCCUAUUUCCCCUCCUCAGCUGCUCUAUCCUUUCCCCCCUAUUUCCCCUCCGCAGCUGCUCUAUCCUUUCCCCCCUAUUUCCCCUCCUCAGCUGCUCUAUCCUUUCCCCCCUAUUUCCCCUCCUCAGCUGCUCUAUCCUUUCCCCCAAAUUCUGGCUGUUGUAACUCUCAGUGGCAUAGUUUGAAAUUCAUGAUCUGAAGCGUUCUGUGGCCUGUAGGCUUGCCUGUCCUUCAGAAUCAUCCUUCCCACCCCUUCUCCAGCCAUGCUGCUCUUUAAUUUCGCUCUUUAAUUUUUCAGUGUAUCCCAACUCUCACAGCGUCAGGGGUUAGUCUUUCUCUGCCUAAUUCACUCUUUCUUCUGCUCUUUCUUUGGCUAGUUCCUUACUUCUUUUCCAGUCUUCAGGAGCACCUUUCUAAAGAAUUAUUAUUUGGCUCUUCUGCUUAACAGGUGAAUGGUAUGCAACCCAAGGAGAGAACGGAGCAUUGGCUUUCUUAUGAAGUCAGAUUGCCUUCCUCCAGUUAUUCUUAGCUUGGUUCCUUAUGGAAUUUAGCUUAAAUGCAUAUAUUGAUCUAGAGCUAAAAAGAGACAGCAUGUGCUAAUGAGGAAACAUGAACAAGGAACUGUGGGAAACAGGUGGACAGGAAAUUGAGAACGUCUGUGAUGGAAGCUGGGUCAGUGAGAACUGUGCUUGGUAAUGGUAGCAGUUUAGAAGUUUGCAGUGUCUGGAUGGUCUGCAAGUAGACUUUUCACCAAAUGAUAAUAAGAAAAUUAUAAAAUAUUACUAAGGCUGCAGUUGAAAGCCGUGGGAAUCUUUGCCCACAGGCUCACAUCUGCAAACAAUGACACAUUUUUAUUUUAAAGCCAAUUCAAGUCCCAUUUGGAGGUAGCUCUUCCUUACUCCUAGAUGAGACAUACAAAUAUCCUCCUCAGCUGUACAAAAGCCACUGUAUUGUGCAUCCCUUGAAGACACCCACAUUUAAGCUACCACUUCAUAUGCCUACUGCUGAAAUAGCCUUUGCUUCUACCCUUUGCCAGUAACUGCUAGUUGCUUGGAGGGUGGAAAUCUUGUGUGAGUUGACAGCCCUUGGCCCACAGUUCUGUCUCCUGCAUACCCUCUGAUUUUUUUUUUACCAACUUUAGCUCUGACAUUCUGGGGCCUGGUAACCUCUGCACUUUCCCAGUUAGUGAUGCAAUGCUGUAAAUAGGAAAUUGGGACUGAAGAGCUACACAGAAAGUGAAACAUAAACAUUGUUUCAGGAUAGUUUGAAGAUAGCACUUGGAGAUCAAAGCAAAUUAGUUCAGAUAGUUUGCUAGAGAUCAGCUUCAACAUGGGUGGGGGUGUUUCUUAUUUUCCUGAGUUAGGCAACUCAGUUUGAAAAUAUUUACAUUAAAAGUUUGGAAGAUGUGAAAUCUGAAAUCUCCUAUCAAUGUCUGAUUUCCUGGGGAAGUCAACUGUAGAAGGCCGGUAAGAGCAUGCCUCAGAGCAGAAGCUCACUGUGGGCCUCACCACCAAGCAGAAGCCCACUGUAGGGGAUAAAAGAUGGCCACAUGUCUUUUGAAAUCCUCUCACUGAGUGGAGAGGUCUACAUCCUCAAUCCUAGAGUCUAAAUUGGACUUUACUUGUUAGUCCAGCACCAUAGAUGAGUUUUCUGGAAUUUUAGAGAAAAUUCUAGCCUUCAGUCUGGCCUCUAAAAUAGCUCUCUUUUGGGAUCCUAGCAACAGUCACUCAAGUUGUUUGAGUGUCUUUUGGAGAGAGCACAAGGUGAGGGUUCUGUCUAAGCCCAACCUUCCAAACUGACGCGUGAAGACAUAGGGAAGAGGGCUCUGCUGUUACAGACCAGCCUAGACCAGCCUAGACCAGCCUAGACCAGCCUAGACCAGGACCAGAUGCCAGCUUUAUACUAUACUGCCUUAGUUAAAGCCACGGAGGGGGUGAGACUCACCUAAUCCAUCUCUGCUUGUUAUUCUGUCUUAAAGAUCAAUCAUAAUUAAAUAUUCAUUUAAGCUACUGGGUUUGAGAGAAACUCGCUAUGCAGUAUUAAACAGUACAGCUGGAUGGUAGUAGUACAUGUCUUUAAUCCCAACAUUCUGGAGUCAGAGGCAGGUAAAUCUCUGAGUUCGAGGCCAGCCUCAUCUCUAGAGUGAGUUCCAGGACAGUCAGGGCUACUGUCUCAAAAAAACAAAUCAACAACAACAAAACAAACAAGAAAAAUCACAGAAAUAUUCAGAUCAUAAUUUGAUAUACCAUUCAUCUCAGCAAAUCAAAUACUAACAUUUCUGACAAUAACUGUUUAUUUUAAAACACCACAUCCUAUUUUGUUAGCAUUAAUAAUCAGGAGAUCUUCUCUCACAUAUGUUUGGCUAAAGUUUAAACUUGAUCUCUUCCUGAAAGUCAGUCUUUCAUCCUGGCAUCUGAAUAUACAAGAAGCCUUAAGCCAUCCCCAGUGCCUCGAUUAUUGAAUUCCCUUUAACCAAGUCCUCACGUGGGCAUUUGCUGCCUUAAAAGAAAAUUCUCCAACUACAAAUUGCCCUUUACAUUCUGGAUUCUGUGUCUUCCCUGGAGAAAUUCUGCUUUGCUCUUGAACUUAGCAGCACCCCCCCCCCCCCCGCAUAGAUUCUAAGGGGAUAAUUAGGCAAGAUACAAAUUCAGAAAGCCUCUGAACUUCCUUUGCUGCAUCUGACAUGCAAUUCUCCUAUCCUGUGACCUGUUCUCCAUGUAACCUUUGCUGCUUUUCUUCUAGCUCUUUCCUUGGUUUGUCUAGCAUAAAUGGCUUGCUUAGAAUACCUGGCUUAUGUUACCUGUGUGGUUUCGAAGUUUACUAAAUAAACUACCAUGAUUCCAUGUGUAUUCUACAGUGUAGUAUAAUUUAUGGACAGCAUUCUGUAAAUAGAAUAUCUCUAAAAGUCUAUCCCACUCAAGUUUUGUACCUGUAUCGAUCUGUUCUUUCAUUCUUCCUGGAAGUCUUUAUAUUUCCUUGUUUGGGGAAGACUAUCACAGAAGUUUGGAAUUAUAGAAUAAUCGUCUUUUAUUCAAGACUUUCAUGUUUGAAAUAUAUUUAUAUAGCAUCUUCUAUAAAUCUCUAUUUAAAUUCAUAAAGCAUUCAAAAUCAAGUAGUGUUAUGUUCUGACUAUGCCUUGGAAGACAGAAAGGGAAUCUGUAUUUAGGUAUUUCAGUUAUAAAUACAUGUUUCAAAAAAUAAAAAACAAAAAAUGUGUAUUACAUACACAAAAAUGGUAUUUCAAUGAAAAACUUUUUGCAUUUUCUCUAGAAUACCCUCCAAGGUCAUUACCAGGUUUUAGCCAUGUUUAUUAUCUUUGAGAGGUUUUGCAACUCUUUGUAAAGUGUUGAUGAUUGCUACGUUUAGGUGUAGGUCUAUAGAUCUGUAUAAGUGGCGGCUUCUCCAUUGCUCACACAACCUCUUGUAUCCAAUUUUAAUUCACUUCAUUAUUCCUUAAUCCUUAUGAAUGUGCAUUUGACUUUAUAAAAUAAUUAUAUACCUACCACUUUACACAUUUUAUCAGAUAUGCCUUCCUUUUUAUAUAUGUAUGACAGAAUUUUAUAUUUUGCUGAAAAUGAUCUUUUACAGUUUUGGAAAUAUAAUUCAGAAAUGUGAUGCUUUUUCCACCUACUAGAGCUGGACAACAUGGUUGCCAAGGAAGUGCACAGCACUUAAAGCCAAAACACAUCUUUUCUUGGUCAUCAGGGCUAAAUCCAAACUGACAAGGGAACUCUGUUAUUGUCAUUUUUACUUUGCUCUAGGUUGACUUUGGUUUUGGUUUAUGUAAGGCUAAUUUAGUUAUUCCCUGGUGGGAAUCUGGAUUUUAUAGUCAGCAUGGGUCAUCUGUGUAUAGAUCUAUGGAGGUAGAGGUGAUAAAGUAUCAUCUAUAGAUCUUUUCUCCUAUCUAUUUUAAGUUCAAACUGAUUGUUUGCACUCAUGUAGAAGAGAAUAGCACUUUGGUAUAGACUGGUGAGUGUUUUUAUUGAAUGUAAUACCUACCAUAUGUACAAUUUUAAAAACUGAAGCUGUAAAUUGUAUUUGUGUCUGUCUCCAAUGUUAGAAAGACUUGUAACCUUUGGUGUGAAGCUGUAA